AGAGUUUGAUCAUGGCUCAGAACGAACGCUGGCGGCACGCCUAACACAUGCAAGUCGAGCGCACCUUCGGGUGAGCGGCGGACGGGUUAGUAACGCGUGGGAACAUACCCUUCACUACGGAAUAGCCUCGGGAAACUGAGAGUAAUACCGUAUACGUCCUCCGGGAGAAAGAUUUAUCGGUGAAGGAUUGGCCCGCGUUAGAUUAGAUAGUUGGUGGGGUAACGGCCUACCAAGUCUACGAUCUAUAGCUGGUUUGAGAGGAUGAUCAGCAACACUGGGACUGAGACACGGCCCAGACUCCUACGGGAGGCAGCAGUGGGGAAUCUUAGACAAUGGGCGAAAGCCUGAUCUAGCGAUGCCGCGUGAGUGACGAAGGCCUUAGGGUCGUAAAGCUCUUUCGCCAGGGAUGAUAAUGACAGUACCUGGUAAAGAAACCCCGGCUAACUCCGUGCCAGCAGCCGCGGUAAUACGGAGGGGGUUAGCGUUGUUCGGAAUUACUGGGCGUAAAGCGCGCGUAGGCGGAUUAGUAAGUUAGAGGUGAAAUCCCAUGGCUCAACCAUGGAACUGCCUUUAAUACUGCUAGUCUUGAGUUCGAGAGAGGUGAGUGGAAUUCCGAGUGUAGAGGUGAAAUUCGUAGAUAUUCGGAGGAACACCAGUGGCGAAGGCGGCUCACUGGCUCGAUACUGACGCUGAGGUGCG
rnacentral:rRNA from 1 species